UUCCUGUUAGAACAUGUUAUUCAAGG
rnacentral:piRNA from 1 species